rnacentral:lncRNA from 1 species
AAUGUGUAAAAAUAUAUAUUGUUCACGGCAUAAAAAGUAAUAAUUGAUUUUUUUUUUUUGGCUUUAAGGAUGUAGUAGUGCACAAAGAAGCAUCUGUUAAUAAUAAUAAUGCUGUUAUUAAAUUUUGUCGCAAGCUGUAAAAACUCCUAGCAGCAGCGAAUUAUGAGAGAAAACCAUGUGCAAAUAACUAUAAUCUUAUCUUUAAUAUAACAGUGAUUAUCGCGAUCACUUUUAUAAUGAUUUGCGAUGCGACAAAAAAAAAAAAAUAAAUAAAUAAAAAAUAAUUAAACGAGUAUAAAGUUUUGCAUGGUAAAAUGGGAAUCGUUUAUAACGCUGCAUAUUAUUUUUUAAAAAAAAUAUUUAGUCUGCUCUUAACCGUACGGAAGAACAUUAAACUCGGCAUUAAACAGCGAAAAUCGUCGAGAUACUCCCGAAAUUAAUUCUAUCGUGAGAGUAUUCGAUUUUAUAAUUGUUUUAAGUUAAAAUGACCUCAUUUAACGUCCGUGACGCUUCGUGUGACUCCAAUUUUGUUCUGCUUGUGUUAAGAAGACACUUAAAAGUCGAUAUACGUUCCCUUCACGAUAGAGAGAAGCAUCUGGAUAUCGUAUCCGAUAAUGAACAUAUCGAUUAUUAUUAUUAUUAUUAUUAUUAUUAUUAUUAUUAUUAUUAUUAUAAAUAUGCAUGUCACGAAAUCAAUAAAACAUCGAAAAACUUAUCGAUACUGCCAUUAAAACGCUCCUAAUUAUUGCUUUAUUUUGUGCAAAGUUAUACAGUUUGCUGUUAAUAGAACGUGUUUGCUUUCGUGCAAUUUGCGAUUAUAGGACGAUUUCGUCACGUUUUUUUGUGGGAAUUCUGUUAUAAUUUAUGUAAUUCAAUUUAAUGCAUGUCGAAACUGCUUAACUAUAACAGAGAUAUACAAUGACAAACUGGUAGCGCAUUGAUAGGGGGGUAAAAAAAAAAAAAAAAAAAAGAAAUGGCCACCACAAGGCGUGCACUCACUCAAGCGUUUAAAAGCAAUAUAUAAACUCGUUUAGCAUCA